GCUGGGAGACUUCGCGUGGAAAGGAGGGGUGCGGACAGAGAAGGCGAAUUUGCUUCCAGCACGGAGAGGCGCUUUUCUAAACCGACACUUGAGCUCCAAUCACACACUCUCAGGUUAGCGUAGCAUUAAAUUAACAGGGUCGGGGUUAUCCAGGGCAUUAUACUGUGUGCCCGGGAUGUAACCUCUGCUCAUUUAUACACAAAGAAGAGGGAGAGACGGAGUUACACCUGGAAAGCCAAAGAGCACGACACGCACACAAUACAGGGCACCCGCAGGGCUGAAAGUGGGCCAGGGCUACACGGUAGGUAUCAGAUCACACAAAGCAGAGGAAAGAAAUCCAGUUAAAAAUACAUUAGUUGAAAUCAGAGGACGAGCUUGAUUUUUUUUUUUUCUUCCUUUUUAAACAAAGGUGCACGUUAGAACAAGCUGGAAGCACUUUGUGCCUGACGGUAUCCCCCACGCCCAUUGGAAAUAAAGCGAGAAGCUUGCUCUUUCUUUGCAUCUUCUAAACCUUGUUUUAAUUAGAAUUGCUAAAGUAGGACACCCCGGUGGAAGAUGUUUUCAAGUAUCCACCUACCUCUCUGCUGUAAGCAGAAUUGCUGUCUGCUAAAUUGCUUGAAACGCAAAAUUCUGCCCCACCCCCAGCAUGUUUUGGCACCUACUCACCCUUUCCCCCCCGAAAUUGCAAUCGCUUGUGAAAGGUUGCUCCAUUAGGAGGAAAAGAAAAACCCCAAACAACCAGCAGUAAUGAGAUGAGUGGAUUCCGAGAGCCUCGCUUUGCUCUGUGCAGCAGGAAAGGGUUUGGACAGAGAGCGUCCUUCAAAACUAAUGCUUUUUUUUUUUUUUUAAGUCCCAAAUUGGGCGUAUCCUUACUCUUCUCCUUUAAUUUAUUUGAUUAAAUCAUAACAAAAACA